AACGAACGCUGGCGGCAUGCCUAACACAUGCAAGUCGAACGAUGCCUUCGGGCCUAGUGGCGCACGGGUGCGUAACGCGUGGGAAUCUGCCUUUAGGUUCGGAAUAACUCCCGGAAACUGGUGCUAAUACCGGAUAAUGUCGCCGGACCAAAGAUUUAUCACCGAAGGAUGAGCCCGCGUAGGAUUAGCUAGUUGGUGAGGUAAAGGCCCACCAAGGCGACGAUCCUUAGCUGGUCUGAGAGGAUGAUCAGCCACACUGGGACUGAGACACGGCCCAGACUCCUACGGGAGGCAGCAGUGGGGAAUAUUGGACAAUGGGCGAAAGCCUGAUCCAGCAAUGCCGCGUGAGUGAUGAAGGCCUUAGGGUUGUAAAGCUCUUUUACCCGGGAAGAUAAUGACAGUACCGGGAGAAUAAGCCCCGGCUAACUCCGUG
rnacentral:rRNA from 1 species